rnacentral:rRNA from 1 species
CCUACGGGAGGCAGCAGUGAGGAAUAUUGGACAAUGGGCGCAAGCCUGAUCCAGCCAUGCCGCGUGCAGGAAGAAGCAUCUAUGGUGUGUAAACUGCUUUUGUACAGGAAGAAACACUCCCUCGUGAGGGAGCUUGACGGUACUGUAAGAAUAAGGACCGGCUAACUCCGUGCCAGCAGCCGCGGUAAUACGGAGGGUCCGAGCGUUAUCCGGAAUCAUUGGGUUUAAAGGGUCCGUAGGCGGUUUAAUAAGUCAGUGGUGAAAUCUGGUCGCUCAACGAUCAAACGGCCAUUGAUACUGUUAGACUUGAAUUAUAAGGAAGUAACUAGAAUAUGUAGUGUAGCGGUGAAAUGCUUAGAUAUUACAUGGAAUACCAAUUGCGAAGGCAGGUUACUACUUAUGGAUUGACGCUGAUGGACGAAAGCGUGGGGAGCGAACAGGAUUAGAUACCCUGGUAGUCCACGCCGUAAACGAUGGAUACUAGCUGUUCGGAGCAAUCUGAAGUGGNGUAGACGAAGUAGAGUAAGUAUACCACCGUACGGGUAGGUACGGUUACGUACGAAGAAGUAGAAACGUACGAAAGAAGUUAGUACGGACGUGAGAGUAGACCGACGGACGACGACGAGGGAGGAGG